CCCUUAGAUGUUCUGGGCCGCACGCGCGCUACACUGACGAAUGCAACGAGCUUAUAACCUUGGCCGAAAGGUCUGGGUAAUCUCCAAAUUUCGUCGUGAUGGGGAUAGAUUAUUGCAAUUAUUAAUCUUCAACGAGGAAUGCCUAGUAAGCGCAAGUCAUCAGCUUGCGUUGAUUACGUCCCUGCCCUUUGUACACACCGCCCGUCGCUCCUACCGAUUGAAUGGUCCGGUGAAGCGUUCGGACCGUGGCCUUUGGACGGUUCGCCGUCUGUUGGCUGCGGGAGUUCGUUAAACCUUAUCAUUUAGAGGAAGGAGAAGUCGUAACA
rnacentral:rRNA from 1 species